rnacentral:rRNA from 1 species
UACGUAGGGUGCAAGCGUUAAUCGGAAUUACUGGGCGUAAAGCGUGCGCAGGCGGUUAUGUAAGACAGAGGUGAAAUGCCCGGGCUUAACCUGGGAACUGCAUUUGUGACUGCAUGGCUAGAGUUUGGCAGAGGGGGGUAGAAUUCCACGUGUAGCAGUGAAAUGCGUAGAUAUGUGGAGGAACACCGGUGGCGAAGGCGGGUCUCUGGGCCGUAACUGACGCUGAGGAGCGAAAGCGUGGGGAGCGAACAGG